CGACACUCAGUCACUCUCUCUCGCGGCUCGCCUCAGACUGAAACCCUCACCUCACCAGAAAACGUCUCGCCGAUUUGUCUUUCCGUUUGAAUCCGCCCACACAAGUGACUCACCUGAGACACAUCUCUCUCGGCUAUCACCUCUCUGAUCUCUCUCUCAGUCUCUCUCGACUUCUCAUCCCUCACAGUGGAGGAGCCUUCCUUCACGAAUCACGGCCAUUGGCGCCGCUCUCCUUCUCAGUCUCUCAGUCUCUCUCGAUUCCACUCAUCCAGUGCACUGUGCACCGAUUCUCCCCCAAAUCUGAUACGAUCCAAAUCUCUAGGCCCUUAAUCAACCUGCAAGUAACACAGAGAAGAGAGAUGGAGAGGGAAGGAAGAGAGAGAGCAGAGCUCUUGAAUAUUUUUUUGUUUAUAUUUCUGUUUGUGUAAAUUCUGAUCUGUUUUCAAACCAAAGAGCAGGUGCUCUUAUACACGAAGUGUGACUCCUGCCAGCUGGCAUUUCUAACAAAUUAUCCUAAUAACCAGUAACCCUCAAUUACAACUAUUUUGACUCUUUAAUUAAAGCAUAAGCCUCAAUCACAAAUUGGGUUCAUAACAAUAUUUCCCCCUUGAAAAUUAGCCUUGUCCUCAAGGCUUAAAAAAUAACUGUGGAAACUUGUUUGAAACGAGCAGCAACUAGCAGGGUGGCGGCAGUAGCAAAAUUUUCCUUCAACGCAAUUUCAGCUUUGGUGUUGAAGAUGCUUGUCCUGCUGGCGACAAUAAAGACAAAGUGAAACUGUCCUUGGAACUGGCCAUUAUAUGAACCCUCCUUAGUAAUCUGUUUCCAAGCAUUUUGGUGACUUGGGACAUGCCACUGAUAUUCAGACCUCGAAAUAUCACAGGGAAGAGGAUCCACCUGAAUAUGAGCCCAUGAUGAGUAUCUGUUGAUCACCUUUGCAAGAUACUUAAGAACAUUCUCACGGGCGUCGGCAUUUUUUAGUAGCAAGAGAAUAACUGCAGUAAGGUCAUCAUAUAAGUUGUUCAUGAUUGUCUCAAUUGUGGCAAUUGAAGAUUGCAGAUCAGCUGAUCUACAAGUUGAAGCCUCCUCAAUACCAUCCACCAUCGCAAGUGCACCAUCAGUAAUACGAAGAGCAGAUGUGACCCCCCCAGAUGAAAAAUCAAUGUGCUUGGAUGAAUCAAUGUGAUUGAUAAGGUACUCAUUUUCAUUACUCUUUCCCUUGUAACUCAUCAGAGAUUCAUCAGUCAUCUCAUAGUACAAAGAGUUAUCAUGGAAAAGACCAAGUAUACUAGUUAACUUCAUGCGUGAAAAUACCUUCUCUUCCAUUAACACACUGUAUUCAAAGGUGCCUCAUGAUUUGUACUAAGUACCUUAUUGAGCAUCUCACAUGUGGUACAAAGGUGAAGGCAAGCCGUUGCAUUUUGGAAGACAUCAAUCUUGUACUUUUCUUUGAAUUUUCCUGCAAAGCGGUGGAACCAUGCUUCAUCAAAGCCCCUACCUCUGAAAUUGAAGGAAUCCACAUAAGCAUGCACAACUUUUGGAGGAAAUUCUUCAAACAACCACAAGUACUGCCUCACUGCAUUGACGGUACCACACUGCUGCGCAGUUUCAGCCACAAAUUGUAGCGCCUCUUUUUUCCUAGAUUUCCCACACUCCUUGGAAUGUAUUCCAUGAAAUAAGAAAAGUAAGAUUGAAGAUGUUGUUGUUCCAUUCUCCUGAAAAAGAAGCUUGACCUCAAUCUCUAAAUUUGGGGAACUUGUGAGAUUGUUGGUAACCAUGAAAAUGACUUUCUUGAAGUAAGAGGUCUGUGCAAUCAGUGAUUUCCUUGGAUUAAGUGGCAAGGCAUCAGAUAAGUAGGUGUCAUCAGAAAAAUGUUGAUCCACCUCUGCCAAAUAUAACAUCUCUUCGACCAUGAAACAAUGAUCUUCAAACAAAAUGGCCCAAGUCCUGAUAUCAAACACAUUUUCAUUUGUAGUUCCCUCUCUUAUAACAAUACCCACACUAGCCUUUCCUACACUCAAUAGCUCCAAGAGGAAUUGUAAUACUAUAGUAUCUAGUGCAGCAUCACAGAAUAAUAUGGCAAUUUCCCAUGCAUUAUCAUGCUCAAUAACCAAGGGUAGGCAAAGAACAAUAGGAAGCAAUUUAUGGAAAUUGCAAGGGAAUAACUCUGCCUUGAUUUUGAGAAGAUCAUUUAUGUGUUUACAGCUGAGAAUUGCAAGCAUGUCCUGUUCUUGUCCGACAUGUCCACCUUUAAGCCCUUUCAAGUUGGCAGAUUCUUCCAAGAGCCUGAUAAUGGAUGUAACAAACCCGAAAGCCUUUCUCUUCCCCUUUUCUUCUACUACCGUGAAAGAGAGAAUGCAGGGCUUCUCCAUCAACCAUUUUUUAUUAUUCCUCUUAUUGAAGAAAACUCUUUGAUAAGAUAUAUUGUCACAAGGAUCAUUGAGCUUGUGACACCAACCCGGUUGCUGGAAAAUCUGGUCAUGCUCCACGCAAUUAGGAAAAGAAACAGCAUCAAGGUGUACAUCAACCCUAUUACAAAAUUCCUUAUUCAAUUUCAAUAAUAAGCUGGUGAAAAUAGAAUAGUGAAGCUGGGAAAUGGCCAUGACUGUCAACGCACAGAUGUGUAACAAUGAUAAGCAGAGGAACUGCUUGAUAACAUGGAUAUGACCCAAGGUCCCAUUCUCCUUAGUGAAACUAGCGACAAGAUCUUUAGGCCAAGACCGAUAUACAAGUACAACAAUAUCCAAAGCUUCCAAGUUGCUACUGAAUGACAUAUUCUCCAUAUUAUGCCUCUCAAACAUUUCAUCAAACAGAUGCAAUGCAUAGAAAUUCUUCAUCACAAAUUUACCCACAAGGUACCAAUUACCCCAUCCACAUUUAGCAGUUAAGAAGUCUUCAUACAUUAUCACAAUAACACCAGUAUAAUAUGCCAGAAUAAGCUGCAAAACCCAAUACCAUUUGUCCUUCCGAUUUGUAAAAUUGGAAAGCAAGGAUGUCAAUACCUCGUGUCGACGCUUUGUGGUGUUUGUAUGCGUUAAGGGCAGCAUAUAAAGACAUAUAGUCUGUGGGUUGAAGCUCCAGUAAUCUCCAUACUCCUCAAGGUUGAUGGAGUCACUGACGUUUUGGUCUGCAAGUAGAAAAGGGACUGCAAUUUUGGUGGUUCCUGUGUUCCUCAGAGGAGACACAAAACCUUGCACACUGGUGUGAAUUGUCGAUGCCAACGUAUCGUUCGAGUUCAACUGUGGCUUGACGGACGGAGCUGCGAUUUCUCGCAACAAUGGUGAUGACGAAAACAACGGCGGAACGGAAUGGACUUCGAUUGGAGAUGGAAGUCUCGGCGGAGUAUCGUCUCCUAGAAGUCCGGGAUGACCGAGAGCGAUUGAUUGCGUGUCAUCGGAAGUAGUCGGGACUGCAUCAGAAACUCCCUCCGCUCUGAGAGCCGAGUCGCGGCAGAGCAAGGCCCAAUCACGGCUGAAAUUCGUCGUGAAAUUUGUGAAUGCAGAAUCCAAAGCUUCGCGGAGUGCAUCACGGAGCGCAGCACGCAGCGAAGCUUCAAAGGAGUCGAUUGCAGCGGAGAGGCGUGCAUCCAUUGCAGGAAGACGGUUCGGGUGGGCGUCCACAGGAGGGAAACCAGGAUUCGAGAAGGAUGAUACCAUUGAUACGAUCCAAAUCUCUAGGCCCUUAAUCAACCUGCAAGUAACACAGAGAAGAGAGAUGGAGAGGGAAGGAAGAGAGAGAGCAGAGCUCUUGAAUAUUUUUUUGUUUAUAUUUCUGUUUGUGUAAAUUCUGAUCUGUUUUCAAACCAAAGAGCAGGUGCUCUUAUACACGAAGUGUGACUCCUGCCAGCUGGCAUUUCUAACAAAUUAUCCUAAUAACCAGUAACCCUCAAUUACAACUAUUUUGACUCUUUAAUUAAAGCAUAAGCCUCAAUCACAAAUUGGGUUCAUAACA
rnacentral:lncRNA from 1 species